AUGAAUAACAAGCUUAAUCUAUCCAGAGCGGGGGAAUCAUGCAAUUGGUAAUCCAUUUACCUUGGGGUGAAUCCUUUAAACAAAGGCAGGGAACUCUCAAUCCCGAAUCCGACAGUUAACCUCGUGUGCUUUAUUGAGAGAAAGA
rnacentral:sRNA from 2 species